rnacentral:tRNA from 1 species
CAUAAUGUGACAGAUAAAUGUGGUAGGCUUAAAACUUAUUAAUAGAAGUUUUUCUCGUUGUGU